rnacentral:ncRNA from 1 species
UAAAAAUUUAUGAUUUUAAAAAUUUAUUUUUAAUUUAUUUUACAUGUUAAUUUUAGUAUUAAUUUUUAAUUAUUUUAAUAAUGAUAAUAAUAAUUUAACAGUAAUUAAAAUUAAAAAUUUAAGAAAUUAAGAUUUAGUAAUAUUAAAAUUAAUAACAAAUUUUGUGCCAGCAGUUGCGGUUAUACAAAAAUUAAAAUAAAUUUUUUUAGUUAUAGUUAAUAAUUUUUUUUUAAUUAAAUAUUAAAUUAUUAAGUAAAAUUUUAAUUUAAUUAAAAUUUAUUAAUUAAUUAUGAUCUAAUAAAUUUAAUUAAUAAACUAGGAUUAGAUACCCUAUUAUUUUAAAUUAUAAAUAAAACUAAAAGAGUAAUUAUAUAAUAUUGAAACUUAAAUAAUUUGGCGGUAAUUUAGUUCAUUUAGAGGAAUCUGUUUAAUAAUUGAUAUUCCACGAAUAAAUUUACUUAAUUUAAUAUUUUAUAUAUCGUUGUUAAAAAAAUAUUUUUAAAUAAAAAUAAUAUUUAAAAAUUAAAAAUAAAAAUUAAUUCAAAUCAAGAUGUAGAUUAUAAUUAAGAAUAUAAUGGAUUACAAUAAAUUUAUUUAAAUGAAUUUUUUUUUUGUAAUAUAAAAAUGAAAAUGGAUUUAAAUGUAAUUUUAUUUAAUUUAAUAAAAUGAUUUAAAAUUAAAUUAUGUACAUAUUGCCCGUCACUUUCAUUUAAAAAUUGGAAUAAGUCGUAACAAAGUAGAGGUACUGGAAAGUGUUUCUGGAAAGAA